AGUGCAAAGGUUAAAUAAAAGAAGAAAUAACAACGAUUUAUCAAAACAUGUAUAACGAUUUAUUGAGGAGCUAUUCAAGCAUGUUAAAUUUCAUGAAAUGCAGGUACCUACCUAUCUACUCACUAGCGUUACAUUAGACGCGCAUUUUACUCGCAAAACUGUACGAUCUAUUUGUUUUUAUUUUUUUAUUUUUUUCUUUGAAGGAGAGUUGCAUAAAAUUGCAUUUAGUUCCCUUCGCCGAUCUGUUCUUGUUUAGCACUAUCAUCGCUGCAUACCAAAUCAACUAUCUCUAUGUUUCAACAAAAUUAUUUUAUCUGUUAUCGUACAAAAUUUCAUGAAAUUCUUUCUUCGUCAAAUUUAUAGUCAUAACAAUAUUCUUCAAUUUUUUCUUCUUUUCUUUUUAAUAAAUUAUAUUCAAGAAUAAAUAAUUUAGAUAAAACAAACGAAUCAACUUCCUUCAUUUCCUAUCAUUUACAUGAUACGUAUCGAAAAUAAUUCUUGUAUUCGAGUCAGUUGCAUGCUGACAAGGUCGCUGCUAUGAUCGUGCUAGACACCAGAAUAAAUCUGCCUACGUUAGUUUUGAUUGCCAGUCUUCAAUGCUCUGGUAUUUUUUUUCCUUUUUUCUAAGUUUUUUUCUUGUUUUUUUAUUCUCUUUAUUUCGUUCUUAGAAUUCGUCGUUUGCUUGUCGAUCAUCCGAAAGCUAACGUCGAAUUUUCGAAAUGAUUUCGAUUAAACUUUCGUAUUCGAAAAUGGUGCUUGCACUAUACAAAACGGUUGUUGCUGUUGCUAUUUUAUUAUGCGUACAAACUAGAAUCCUUUUUUUUAAUCGUAUGCAACGAGAAAUCAAAAUAUAUUUAAUAAUUUUUUAUAUUUUUAUCUUUCUUAUUUUCUCUUUAUAAGAAUUAGAUUAAUAGUCUGAAGUAAAAUUAAAAUCGAAUCAGCUAAUCGAUAAUCGAUACGAUAAUUUCUCGAAAGAGAAACGAAUUCGAUUUCUCGCAGCAUUCGAUCGUUUCUUACGCUACCAGUCGAAGAUAACCUUACAAACUUAAUUUACACAAUCGUUCUUAUGUUUUCGUGAGAAAUUAUACAACGUGCGAAUGCAAAUUAUCGAGCAAUCGAGAAAUUUCAUCUGGAAAGUUUAAUCGUCUCGCUUAUUAAUCUUAAUUUUUUUCUGAAUAUCUUUGUGUGUACGUAUGUGUUGCGUAUAUUCAUGCACGUGUUCUUUACAUUUGUUCACCCGUGUGAUUUUCGUGCUGAUUUAUUUUUUUUUCUUUUUUUGAUUCGCAGUUUUCCAUUUGUAUUUGAUUGUUUAGUCGAAAAUUAUCGAGCACGACGCAUUUGGAAUUAGAAAGGCUGGAAUCGACUACGAUUUUUAUUUUUUUUUUUCUGUGAAGUUUCACUUUCUACAACGAUAAAUGUGCAUAUACCGAAAAGUAUCAAUCGAUCGUUCUUUUCUACGAAGAAUCCAAAGGGAGAAGAAGAAUGGAAAGAUAAAUCCUUCAAUUCGCAUUCGAUUCUUCGUCAAAGAUUCUCGACGCGGCCAUAAUUCAUCGAGUUUUUACAGCUAGUUAACAGAAAUAAUAAGAGCUCAAGACCAAUUUCGUGAUUGUUUUUCUCUAGAAAGAUAGCCCGCCUUUAUCACAAGGCGGACACUUUCAAUAUCGAUAUUCAGAAUCGAGGAUCGACGAUCGACGAUCUCCUGGUGAUCCCUGCACCGAGCUCUUUCCCAACGAUUUUCCACUAUGAUCGAUGAGAGAGGAAGUUCGAGGAAGUUGCUGGGAAGAGGAAGAGAAAUACGUACAAUUAAUGACGUGUGCACGGGAUGUGGGAUCGAUUGAUCGAAACUCCAUACAGAAAAAUGAGAGAAUAGAUACGACACGGAAAUUUUUCAAACAUCCUUUUCCUGGAGCCAAUUUUGUACAUGAAGAAGAAUUUUUCUUACAUCUUUCUUUAUUAUUUAUCUCUUUUCUCCACGGUGAAGGGGUUGCGCCCAUUCGAUUCGACACCCCGCACCCACAGAUAAAUUGUAUAAAUCUUACAAGUGUAUGUGUGUGUUCAGGUGUAUGUGUAGAAGGCAUACGAGCAUCCCUAAACAUUAUUUUGGCCGUGAAUUUAGAGUGGUUUGGAGCGAGAAUGGAUGAUCGUCGAAUUCAUCCAAUCUGAACGAUCGUCCAUUCUCGCCUCUGAAGAGAAAAAAAAAAAAGAAAAAAAGUAUACAUAUCCG